GACAGAGGGUGCAAACGUUGCUCGGAAUUACUGGGCGUAAAGCGCACGUAGGCGGCUUUCUAAGUCGGGGGUGAAAUCCUGGAGCUCAACUCCAGAACUGCCUUCGAUACUGGAAAGCUCGAGUCCGGGAGAGGUGAGUGGAACUGCGAGUGUAGAGGUGAAAUUCGUAGAUAUUCGCAAGAACACCAGUCGCGAAGGCGGCUCACUGGCCCGGUACUGACGCUGAGGUGCGAAAUCGUGGGUAUCAAACAUC
rnacentral:rRNA from 1 species